CGGGUGAGUAACACGUGGAUAACCUACCUAUAAGACUAGGAUAACUUCGGGAAACCGGAGCUAAUACCGGAUAAUAUUUUGAACCGCAUGGUUCAAAAGUGAAAGACGGUCUUGCUGUCACUUAUAGAUGGAUCCGCGCUGCAUUAGCUAGUUGGUAAGGUAACGGCUUACCAAGGCAACGAUGCAUAGCCGACCUGAGAGGGUGAUCGGCCACACUGGAACUGAGACACGGUCCAG
rnacentral:rRNA from 1 species